AUCUACAAGGAAUAAUGUGAAAACACUUGAGCAUUUUUAGAAACUGUAAUAAAGGUACAAUAUUAAUGCUAACUGAUAAACUUUUUACAGGAACUUAGGCAGUUAUAAAACCACUUUAAAUGUAUAGUAAAGUAGAACAAACAAGUAAAUAUAGAUAACAGGACUCAGUUUUCUUACUAUUAGAGAAAGAAGUUUUGUUGUUGUUGUUGUUGUUGUUUUGAGACUAAGUCUUGCUCUGUCACCCAGGCUGGUCUCAAACUCCUGACCUCAGGUGAUUCACCUGCCUCAGCCUCCCAAAGUGCUGGGAUUACAGGUGUGAGCCACCAUGCCCAGCCAUGCAUGAUUUUUAA
rnacentral:sRNA from 1 species